rnacentral:misc_RNA from 1 species
GAAAUGCGAUAAGUAGUGUGAAUUGCAGAAUUCAGUGAAUCAUCGAAUCUUUGAACGCACAUUGCGCCCCUUGGUAUUCCAUGGGGCAUGCCUGUUCGAGCGUCAUUUGUACCCUCAAGCUCUGCUUGGUGUUGGGUGUUUGUCCCGUCUCCGCGCGUGGACUCGCCCCAAAGUGAUUGGCAGCCGGCGUACUGGUCCCGGAGCGCAGCACAUGUCGCGCAAACGAGUGCCUUGGUACGGCGGCGUCCUUAAGCCCCUCUCUCACGCUCUUGACCUCGGAUCAGGUAGGGAUACCCGCUGAACUUAAGC